CCGAAAAUUUUUCUGUCUUAAAAAAAUACUUAAUGAAAUUGAAUUUGUAGUGAAGAUGCUACAUUAAAAUUGUAAGACGAGAAGUCCCCAUGGAGCUUUACUGAAGGCUUAAAGUUUUUUAAUAAGCGAGACAGUUUGGUUGGGGCGAUAGUUUUUUAAAAAGUAACGAAAACGAACUAUGGUGAAGCUUCACUCUGAAAAAUUUUUUAAGGGACAUUUUUGGUGUGUUUUAUGAUCCGUUAUUUGGAAUGAAAAAAAUAACGAAAACA
rnacentral:rRNA from 1 species